AACGAACGCUGGCGGCAUGCCUAACACAUGCAAGUCGAACGAGACCUUCGGGUCUAGUGGCGCACGGGUGCGUAACGCGUGGGAACCUGCCCUUAGGCUCGGAAUAACUCCCCGAAGGGGGUGCUAAUACCGGAUAAUGUAUUCGGACAAAAGAUUUAUCGCCUUUGGAUGGGCCCGCGUUGGAUUAGCUAGUUGGUAGGGUAAAAGCCUACCAAGGCGACGAUCCAUAGCUGGUCUGAGAGGAUGAGCAGCCACACUGGGACUGAGACACGGCCCAGACUCCUACGGGAGGCAGCAGUGGGGAAUAUUGGACAAUGGGCGAAAGCCUGAUCCAGCAAUGCCGCGUGAGUGAUGAAGUCCUUAGGGUUGUAAAGCUCUUUUACCCGGGAUGAUAAUGACAGUACCGGGAGAAUAAGCUCCGGCUAACUCCGUG
rnacentral:rRNA from 1 species